GUCAUUUCAACAGAUUUUGCAGAAUUCUCUCUUGGUCCUUUGAGCUUUUGUCAUGGCCGGAAGAACAGGUGUCACAGAAGAGUUCUCAGAGGAGAGGUGUGCUUGAUCUAAGUGAAAUUCAAGUUUUCACAGAAUUUUAAAUGCAUGCCUUUGGGAGGGAUGCUUAUAACGCAAUCAAAAACAGUCAUUUAGCCAGCCGGCAAUGCCAACUCAACCAGGACUGGGCAUGCAGGGACUAAGGUGACUGCCUGCACAGAACUGUGAGGUCAUCUGGUGCCUAUGUCCAGGAGUCCCAGUAUGAGGUGGUGGUAUGAAGUAAGUUGUUACUUCUCAAUAAAAGAAUUUUUUCUCAUACUCUAGACAUUGGCUCUUGCCACUUAAUUUGCAUUUAGUUGAGUUUGAGCCUCCAUCAUCAUAAACCUUUCAAUAAAGACAAACUAUCUCCAAUAUGUCAAUGGCUUUCACACCAAUAGGUUUUUGCUAGUGGGUCCAUAGUACCUUGCUGUGAGCACCUGUUGGAGAAUUUCCUCGAGUUAUUUGUUAAAGACAACAGGAAACCAAUCAUUGACCGAAGAUAUUGAGGCGGGAUCUUCCAAACAGAACAGGAAGAGAAGGGGAGAAGAACAAGGUCAGAUGAGAUGGAAGACAGAGAAAGAAGAAGAUGGAGGGAGAAAAAGAUGAACCAGAUCCAUGUGGCCUGGAGGAGCCACAAGUAGCUAGGGAUGUCUUAGGUGGGCAACAGAGUAACGGAGGGUGCAUUUUCCCAAUCUAGGUGUGCAGCUUGUAUUUAUAUCAAUUGAGUUUUGUGCUCUUUGUGCAGGCAUUUAGGGGUUGGAGAUUUACCCAUUAUAAAUCUGGCUGGUAUAUUAGAAGUAUCUAGUGCUAUCAUUUUACUGGGCUAAGGGGAUCUGAGUGAGCAGUAGCUGGCUUUCUGCAGGCUAGCCACAGGGGGUGGGUGGCCUGGGAAGUGCAAGCAUCUCCAGGUAUUUCAGAAAAGACUGGUUCUGUCAGCUUAGCAAGCAGAGAGGAGAGAGCUAUCAUCUGAGCAGUGAUAAAGCACUUUUGACUAAAGUGGCUUGGCAGCGGGAAUCAGGGCAAGAUGGCCACUUGGGGCUGGCCAUGGGGGCGAGCAGC
ensembl:lncRNA